GCUCCCUUCAGCAGCACUAUACUAAAAUUGGAACAAUACAGAGGAGAUUAGCAUGGC
rnacentral:snRNA from 1 species